CAACAAGGCAGUUAGCAACCAGUUGUUUCUCUCUUGACCCUUUAGAUGUCAACUCGGGAAAUUACAUGAUACAAUGUGACAAAGAUCUAUCUAAUAGGGAAGGAAAGAAAACCAAGCGAAAAGGAAGAGAAAAUAGAAAAAAAAAAAGAAAACGAGUUGUAGUCUAAGAAAGGGAGCCAUCCAAGUUAUUCAUGCAUCGACUUAAACCAUUCCCCUUGCUGGAAAGUUCAGCAUUACCAUUCGUGCUCAUCCAUCAGCUACAAUCCAAAUGCUAGUCACCCUCCACCUCCAACUUUGCAACUGUUGCCUUCUCCAUCCCGAACUACCUAUUUGUCACACCUCACCCCUACACAUACUUUUUUUCCCCUUCAGCCUGCAGAGUAUCAAUCCCUUCCAGCUCACAUCUUCCCCAGCACUUCACCGAUCUCUUCUCAAUUUCAAACCAGCAUCUCAUUAGCACCUCCCUCCUUUUGUCUUCUUCCACCCUACCUUCCAAAAUAAGUAGGUUCAUUUCCAAACAAUCUAACAAAAACUUACUGAUAUUUUCCCCAGAAAUUUAGUCUUCCCAAAAAUGCAAUCAUCCUACAGGCAAGCUAACCACACAAGGUAUUAGAUAAAAUGAAGAUUAUGUUCAUCUUCUGAACAUGACAUGAGCUGAAAGAAUAAUUCAUAUAACUUGAUUGCUGCUGCUAAGGGUUAGGAUUCUGCUAUAUAGUUAUACUGUCUGUUGAUACGGAAAACUAAAACACAACUGUUGUCAUGUAUUUGCCUGUUUAUGGUUUUGUCUUCUCCUGUAAUAUAGCUAGUUUUAGCAUGUAGGCAACAAAAACUGAAAACCGCUAAUGAGUACAUAGUCAUACAAUCAAAGACUUUCCUCAUCGCCUACAGUUGAAAAUAUGAUCGGUACUAUUUGGAACAAAUGAGAUCAAUUUUAGUCAAACGUACAUUAAUCUGAGAUAAGCAUCUGCAGAUCAACAUAAAUACAAGAAAAACUACCUUAUGUCAAACUCUUCUGAUUUUUUUACUGCUUUUUGAGCGGCUUUAACUGU
rnacentral:lncRNA from 1 species